UGAAUGCCUUGGGAAUAGGAGACGAUGAAGGACGUGACUACCUGCGAUAAGGUUCGGGGAGCUGGAAGUAAGCUUGACCG
rnacentral:rRNA from 1 species